AGGGGAAACGACAUCGAAAGCUUGCUUUUGAUGGGCGUCGACCGGCGCACGGGUGAGUAACGCGUAUCCAACCUGCCCACCACUUGGGGAUAACUUUGCGAAAGUAAGACUAAUACCCAAUGAUAUCUCUAGAAGACAUCUGAAAGAGAUUAAAGAUUUAUCGGUGAUGGAUGGGGAUGCGUCUGAUUAGCUUGUUGGCGGGGUAACGGCCCACCAAGGCAACGAUCAGUAGGGGUUCUGAGAGGAAGGUCCCCCACAUUGGAACUGAGACACGGUCCAAACUCCUACGGGAGGCAGCAGUGAGGAAUAUUGGUCAAUGGACGAGAGUCUGAACCAGCCAAGUAGCGUGCAGGAUGACGGCCCUAUGGGUUGUAAACUGCUUUUAUAAGGGAAUAAAGUGAGUCUCGUGAGACUUUUUGCAUGUACCUUAUGAAUAAGGACCGGCUAAUUCCGUGCCAGCAGCCGCGGUAAUACGGAAGGUCCGGGCGUUAUCCGGAUUUAUUGGGUUUAAAGGGAGCGUAGGCCGGAGAUUAAGCGUGUUGUGAAAUGUAGAUGCUCAACAUCUGAACUGCAGCGCGAACUGGUUUCCUUGAGUACGCACAAAGUGGGCGGAAUUCGUGGUGUAGCGGUGAAAUGCUUAGAUAUCACGAAGAACUCCGAUUGCGAAGGCAGCUCACUGGAGCGCAACUGACGCUGAAGCUCGAAAGUGCGGGUAUCGAACAGGAUUAGAUACCCUGGUAGUCCGCACGGUAAACGAUGGAUGCCCGCUGUUGGUCUGAAUAGGUCAGCGGCCAAGCGAAAGCAUUAAGCAU
rnacentral:rRNA from 1 species